UACGUAGGGUGCGAGCGUUGUCCGGAAUUACUGGGCGUAAAGAGCUCGUAGGUGGUUUGUCGCGUUGUUCGUGAAAACCGGGGGCUUAACCCUCGGCGUGCGGGCGAUACGGGCAGACUUGAGUACUGCAGGGGAGACUGGAAUCCUGGUGUAGCGGUGGAAUGCGCAGAUAUCAGGAGGAACACCGGUGGCGAAGGCGGGUCUCUGGGCAGUAACUGACGCUGAGGAGCGAAAGCGUGGGGAGCGAACAGG
rnacentral:rRNA from 1 species